UGGGUUGUGGCUCAGUGGUAGAGUGCUUGCCUCGGAUGUGUGAGGCACUGGGUUCGAUCCUCAGCACCACUUAA
rnacentral:tRNA from 1 species